UACGUAGGGUGCGAGCGUUGUCCGGAAUUAUUGGGCGUAAAGGGCUCGUAGGCGGUUUGUCGCGUCGGGAGUGAAAACACACAGCUUAACUGUGUGCUUGCUUCCGAUACGGGCAGACUAGAGGUAUGCAGGGGAGAACGGAAUUCCUGGUGUAGCGGUGAAAUGCGCAGAUAUCAGGAGGAACACCGGUGGCGAAGGCGGUCUCUGGGCCGAUACUGACGCUGAGGAGCGAAAGCGUGGGGAGCGAACAGG
rnacentral:rRNA from 1 species